rnacentral:misc_RNA from 1 species
AGCAGCCGCGGUAAUUCCAGCUCCAAUAGCGUAUAUUAAAGUUGUUGCAGUUAAAAGCUCGUAGUUGAAUUUCGGGAUCAAUUAAUCGGUCGUGCCUCUGGUACGCACUGGUUUUAUUGGUUUCUCCCUUCUGACGAACCAGGAUGUCAUUAAUUUGGUGUCUUGGAGAAUCAGGACUGUUACUUUGAAAAAUUAGAGUGUUUAAAGCAGGCUAACGCUUGAAUACAUUAGCAUGGAAUAAUGAAAUAGGACGUUUGAUCCUAUUUUGUUGGUUUCUAGGAUCGACGUAAUGAUUAAUAGGGAUAGUUGGGGGCAUUAGUAUUCAAUUGUCAGAGGUGAAAUUCUUGGAUUUAUUGAAGACUAACUACUGCGAAAGCAUUUGCCAAGGAUGUUUUCAUUAAUCAAGUAGCGAAAGUUAGGGAUCGAAAGACGAUCAGAUACCGUCGUAGUCUUAACCAUAAACUAUGCCGACUAGGGAUCGGAUGAUGUUAAUUUUUAAUGUAUCAUUCGGCGUCCCG